CUGCCUGAUGGAGGGGGAUAACUACUGGAAACGGUGGCUAAUACCGCAUAACGUCGCAAGACCAAAGAGGGGGACCUUCGGGCCUCUUGCCAUCAGAUGUGCCCAGAUGGGAUUAGCUAGUUGGUGAGGUAACGGCUCACCAAGGCGACGAUCCCUAGCUGGUCUGAGAGGAUGACCAGCCACACUGGAACUGAGACACGGUCCAGACUCCUACGGGAGGCAGCAGUGGGGAAUAUUGCACAAUGGGCGCAAGCCUGAUGCAGCCAUGCCGCGUGUAUGAAGAAGGCCUUCGGGUUGUAAAGUACUUUCAGCGGGGAGGAAGGUGUUGUGGUUAAUAACCGCAGCAAUUGACGUUACCCGCAGAAGAAGCACCGGCUAACUCCGUGCCAGCAGCCGCGGUAAUACGGAGGGUGCAAGCGUUAAUCGGAAUUACUGGGCGUAAAGCGCACGCAGGCGGUCUGUCAAGUCGGAUGUGAAAUCCCCGGGCUCAACCUGGGAACUGCAUUCGAAACUGGCAGGCUUGAGUCUUGUAGAGGGGGGUAGAAUUCCAGGUGUAGCGGUGAAAUGCGUAGAGAUCUGGAGGAAUACCGGUGGCGAAGGCGGCCCCCUGGACAAAGACUGACGCUCAGGUGCGAAAGCGUGGGGAGCAAACAGGAUUAGAUACCCUGGUAGUCCACGCCGUAAACGAUGUCUACUUGGAGGUUGUGCCCUUGAGGCGUGGCUUCCGGAGCUAACGCGUUAAGUAGACCGCCUGGGGAGUACGGCCGCAAGGUUAAAACUCAAAUGAAUUGACGGGGGCCCGCACAAGCGGUGGAGCAUGUGGUUUAAUUCGAUGCAACGCGAAGAACCUUACCUGGUCUUGACAUCCACAGAACUUUCCAGAGAUGGAUUGGUGCCUUCGGGAACUGUGAGACAGGUGCUGCAUGGCUGUCGUCAGCUCGUGUUGUGAAAUGUUGGGUUAAGUCCCGCAACGAGCGCAACCCUUAUCCUUUGUUGCCAGCGGUUAGGCCGGGAACUCAAAGGAGACUGCCAGUGAUAAACUGGAGGAAGGUGGGGAUGACGUCAAGUCAUCAUGGCCCUUACGACCAGGGCUACACACGUGCUACAAUGGCGCAUACAAAGAGAAGCGACCUCGCGAGAGCAAGCGGACCUCAUAAAGUGCGUCGUAGUCCGGAUUGGAGUCUGCAACUCGACUCCAUGAAGUCGGAAUCGCUAGUAAUCGUGGAUCAGAAUGCCACGGUGAAUACGUUCCCGGGCCUUGUACACACCGCCCGUCACACCAUGGGAGUGGGUUGCAAAAGAAGUAGGUAGCUUAACCUUCGGGAGGGCGCUUACCACUUUGUGAUUCAUGACUGGGGUGAAGUCGUAACAAGGUAACCGUAGGGGAACCUGCGGUUGGAUCACCUCCUUACCUUAAAGAAGC
rnacentral:rRNA from 1 species